UACGGGGGGGGCAAGCGUUGUUCGGAAUUACUGGGCGUAAAGGGCUCGUAGGCGGCCAACUAAGUCGGAUGUGAAAUCCCCAGGCUCAACUUGGGAACUGCAUCCGAUACUGGAUGGCUUGAAUUCGGGAGAGGGAUGCAGAAUUCCAGGUGUAGCGGUGAAAUGCGUAGAUAUCAGGAAGAACACCAACGGCGAAGGCAGCUCGCUGGGACGGUACUGACGCUGAGACGCGAAAGCGUGGGGAGCGAACAGG
rnacentral:rRNA from 1 species